CGCGCUGUACAGCGCCAUCGCAGCGGCCCAGUCGCCCCACGUGGACAGGAAAUGACGUCACUUCCGACUCAAGCCACGCCCCCGCGGCGGUCUUCCUGAACACGCCCACUGUGUUGCCCCGCCCCCUCCGCUGUGGCCCCGCCCCCCCCCGCCGCUCGCAGAGCACGGCUCGGGCAGCACAACCGCAGCUUUAUUGAGGACACGGGGACAGCGGCGCGGGGCUCCGCGCUGGGAGCUGUGCCGAGAGGGCCGCGGUGCUGCGCCCUACAGCUUGGUGGGCUCCUCCGCCGCGGGGGGCCCCUGGGAGUGCCGGCCGGCAGCGGGCACGGGCAGGAUGAUGGGAGGGGAGAAGGGCCCUCGCUCCGGCCAGCAUAGGUCCACGAUGGGGUAGAGCUGGCCCUGGAACUCCGCCUGGAAGGUGUAGAUGGGGCUGAGCUCGUCGGGGCUGUCGGCGUUGUAAAAGGUCAGCUCGCCCUUCUCGUAGUGCAGGUAGAUCCCGAUGCGCUGCGGCCGGGCGGUCAGCGGCAGCGUGGCCCGUGGGGUGCUGAAGGCCUCAUAGACUUUCCCUUCCUUGAGGCCGAUGAGCCACACGCCGUUCUCGGGAGACUUGCUGAGCUUCCCUUUGCGGCUGACUGUGCCCUUGAUGAUGCCCACGCGCCAGUGGUUCCUGGUGCCCACGAUCACCUCCCAGUAGUGCUGGCCGCAGGAGAAGCCCUUGCAGGUGAGGAUGCAGUUGCUGGAGUCAAAACGCUUGGGGUUGCUGUCCCGGCGCUGGUACAGCCCGCACUGCACCACCGUGUCACCCUUGAAGAGUUCCAGCAGGGGAUGUGCUGUCACCGGGUCCAGUUUCAGCAUCUCUGGAGCUAAAAGGAAAGCAGGCAGACUCCAGGAACGCUGCUGGGCGUACUGCUGAACCCAAACAGGCUGCUCAGACACCAGAGCAGGCGCUACCAGCAUGAGAUGCCGGACCAGCUGCUGCUCCUGGAGCUCUGCUGGAAGUGAGCAGAGCAAGGCAGAGGCCAGGACAGUGGUACGCUGGCUGGGCAGCUCGUCCUGGCUGGGGAAGCUGGUACCUGGCAGGACGUGGCGGUGCAGCCGCUUCCACACAGUCAUCUUGAUGUCAUCUUGGUGGAAACAAGGCUUGAAGGAUACGGGACUGAAGAUGGUAUCACCUGGGUGUAGGCUGGGAAGCUCUGACCUGAAAAGACAAGUGCAGCUAUGACAAAGGUUGAUGGGAACAGUGCCUGUUCUUUUCUCACCUUCUGCUGUGUAUGAUGGAGCCACUAGUGUGUCUGCAGCUGCUUAUGCCCUCUUCUGGGGCUGCAUGCAUGGCCCUGGCUGUGGCUUUCCAUCACAACAGCAAUGCCCACAGAACUGAGCAGGGCAGUGUGCCCACACCAGGCUGUCCCAGCAAUGCUGAGGUGCUCACUGGCCUACUUGCUGCUGUUCCCCUUGUUGCUGCGUGCUGCUGGGUCCCAUCACUCACCUGAACUGGUAGGAGCUGUAUUUCUGGAAAACACAAGAGAAAAAGUUAGUCAGUGGUGGUAGACUGACACGACAGCAGCUCCUCUGCAUGGUCACAGCUCCACACAUCCAUGUCCUGGGCCAGAGAGGCCGGGGCUCUCCUCUCCUGGGAGAUGUAUUCUGAUGGACAGCUCUCUGCCAUCUGGGGAAGCCCAUGCUGGACAGAAGGCACCUACAUCUCACACCUCUUGGUGUGCUAGCUAUGUUUGGUGUGGGUUCUCGCUGCCCAGGGAACGACCCAGGGCUAUGAGCAGUGGGCUGAUGGUGGGAGAGCCUGGCUGACCCUUGCCACCUUCCUGAGGCAGUCACUAGGGGGCACACUCACACGGAUGAAAUCAAGCUGACUUUCGUUGCCGAGUGUCUCCAGAAUGCUCUGCAUCUCCUUCAGCCUCUGCAGGGUGUCUGAUGUCUGCUUGACCUGAGACUCAAUGGAGGUGAUGAGCUGGGCUGCCUUCCCCUCCACGCUCUCCAGGAAGGUGGCCUUCUCCUCAUCGAUGUACCUGUGCAGCUCCUCAAACUCCUUCCGGAUCACCCACUUGAAGACAUCUGCCUCAUUCUGCAGGGAGACAGCAAGCAGCUCUGCAGGACUGCCUUGCUACAUUUCCUUCACCCACUUUCUAGUUUCAGAGAUGCCACUGGCAAAUUCUGUGUGCCCCAACAUGCUGCCCUGCAUUUGUCUUCCAAAUAAAGAGCAGCUCUUCAGAGAGGCAGGAUGUCAUUUCACCCUGCUGCCCUCAGCACCACGACACCACUGCCAUACAGCUCUCUCCAUCCAGUUUUUGUCUUGAUGUCCCAGCUAGCUUCAUUGGAGCCUUGAAAGAGCUUUUGGAUUCCUCUGCUACCAGGGAACAACCUUGGUCCUGCACUAAGUGGGGGGAAUUGCAGCUCCAGUUUCAUGUGGCUUCUAAGGAGCCCAAUUCAGAAGCUCAAGUCUCAAAAAGUGAUACUGAGAGGUCCCUUUGAGAUGUCUACUGCAUGGAAAAUGGGUACACAGCCAAAUGAAGUGUAAAUUCAUUGUGAAACUCUCAGCAUUCUGACUGGGAAGCCUUCUCUGAGCAAGGUGUUCUUCAUUUGUUAUCAUCUCCAAGGACGUGGUCAAACAAGCUCCUGCCAGGGUACUCAGUGAGGUUAUGUCACCCCUGCGGAAAACCCCACUGGCUUUGCCAUUGGAGAGGGCUAUGUCACCCAUCCUGAAAACAGGGCUAUUUUAAUCCCUAGUAUUCCUGGAGAACAGGAAUCUCGGGGAACAGUCCUGCUUACUGUCAUAGGAAAGGGAGAAAAGAGGGAUAGGAAUAGAGGAGGUGAUCUGAGGAAACCCAGGAGCAGAAAUUGCUCCAAGGGUUGUGUAGGAGGCAAAGAGCUCUGGGAAGCAGGCUCCUUUGGCACUUGGAACUCACCGCAAUGCGGAUUUUGUUGUUGAUGAGCUUGCUGAACAGUUCAUCCAGGUUCCUCUUGCACCGGUGGACAUCGGUUAGCAGCACAGACAGCUCCUCCUAGAAAGACAACAGCUGUCUUGAGGAGGAACCUUGUGGCAUCCUACUUGAUCGCAGGCUCUGGCCCUGUGCCUGCCAGCCCCCCAAGGAGCCCCGAGAAGCCAUGCUUUCCCAAGCUUCCUCUAUGGGGUUCUGUACAUCCUGCUGAUCUUGGUCUGACCUAGAGGAUUUGAGGGUGCCAGAGUCAGAAGAGCACUCAGAGCACAGCCCCGAGCUGGGCGCUGCUGGCCAAGUACUCUUGCCAGGAGUACUACACCUCCACUCCACAUCUGGCACCCCAUGAAAACAAUUCUCCAGGUGAGCGGCUGCAGCCAGCACCAAAUCUGCAACACCGUGUCAGUGCUGGUCCUGGAGCCUGGCUCAGGCAGGCACCUUCCUGGUGCCUCCUGUUCUUAUCGCCUUGGUGUCAGGAGCUGAGGGGAACAUGGCCCUGUGCUUUUCCACUCCUUGGGCUUUCAUGUGAUGUUGGGCAGGGAACGCCAGCUGUUUACUCUGCCAGCCCUUAUCUCCAGACUCCUUUUGAUGGUAUUUGUAAACAAUCUUGAAAGGCCUCUAUGACUCCCACUGAUCCUCAAGUCCUGUUCAAAAACACCGAAAACACGUCCCCUCAGCCAGGGACAUGCUUGGCCUGAGAAUUGGCUGGCCCCAGCCCAGGGUCCCUGCCCCACAUCUGUCUGUGCUAUGGGACCAUGCUGCCCACACUGGCACCAUUUUCAGCCUCUUUCUUGAAGGAGAGGAGAUGCUAGUACCGCCAUACUUGGGGCUGAGACUGCUACUACAGAUGUUCUAAUCCUCACCCCAGGGAGCCCUCACCACCCCUGUCUGCCAACCUUCAUCCGGCAGUAUGCGGUAGAAAUAGGGGUGAUCUUGUGCUGCUUGUGGUUGCCAAUUGUGCCGCACAGCCCACAGAUCACCUCUCGGUCAGCCUCGCAGAAGAGGCUCAGUGGAUUGUCGUGCGUUGGGCAGGAUUCUGGGGUGGGCUCUGUCUCGCCCCGGCUCUGCAGUGCCUCAAUGAUACGGGCCAGCGUGACGUUGGGUGGUGAAGCACUGCAGUCCACAGAUUUACGGCACACAGGGCACAGUAACUGCUCAUCCAGCUCUCCAGACAGUGACAGUACACAGGACUUGCAGUAGGAAUGCCCACACUGCAGCAUCAGGGGCUCCUUGAAGACCUCCAAGCAGAUGGGGCAGAGCAGCUGGUCCUCCAGAUUGUCAAUGCUCAUCUUCCGAGCCAUGCUGCCACCUUCCAGCAGCCCUAAUGCAAAGAACAAGGCAAACACAGAUGAGCAAAAACAGAGCUCAGCACCUGAGGAAGUGAAGAGACACCUCAAACGCCUUCAUGCCCCAUCAGCAGUUCAGACAGUUGUGAGCUUGUCAUUGGACUCCACAGAGAGCAUGAGAUGCUUGUUUUAAUCCGCAGUGUUCUGACAACAUGAGAUCGCACAUGGUCAGGACUGCUGGCUCUGCCUAUUAGUGGCAGAAGCCACCACCAAGCUGAUCCUCGUCUGGAACCUUUCUUUGCCUGGCAGCUGUGUCAGCCUGUAGGCCACUUCAAGGGAGAAGUGUCUGUGUGCCAGGACUUGGCAGGGCUGGAGACAGAGCCAAGAGGGAUCUUUGCUGAGAAGUUCUAGCACUGACCCUGGCCUGUAUGAAUUUUUGCAGAUCUCCUUGGCUCGCUGUCUCAGCCCCUGCAUGUCCUCAGAAGGACUGGCGUUAGCUCAAGUGAGCAAAAGCAGAGUGAAAUCACAAAGAGCAUGGUUAUCUCCAAGACAGGGAGAGAAACUACACACUACAACUUGCAAAGUUAAUUUUGACUGAUAUGAGGGUUGGGAGUUUGAGCCACAUUGUGUAGGGCUGUGACUUCAGUUUACCUCCUUGAAACUCAGUGUGGUUUCUGAUCACCAGACUCCAGGCCAGCACCCACAGGACACACAAGCCAAAAUCCCUGCAUCUCCCACCAGUCUUAUGGCCACAUGUGGCCAUUCUAUUUAAGAACCAUGUGGUUCAUGGAACUAUGUGGUUCAUGCAACAUUGGCUUCCACACAGCAUUGGUGGGACAUAACCACCAAGAUCUAGAGUAUCAUGGGCUCUGCUGCAGCCUGGACAGGUAGGGCAUCGCCACCCAGACAAGCAGCAAUGGGUGGCCCAGACCUGGAGGUGACCCUGCUCUAACUGUGACAGUCUGACAGUGUGUCCAUGUCUGCUCCUGAACAGAGGCUGUCAGAGAGCACAGGUCAGACCCUUUGUGGUCUCCCUGCUCACAUGGAGAUAAACCUGAAGUCAAAGACUUGGUAAUCUCCCCAGGGAAAGGGGAGGCUGUGACCUGAGCUCAGCUUUUAUGAGACAUUGCUUAUAGGAGCUCAACAGGGAAUCAAGAAAAGCGCCAUUGUUGGCCCAUGAAUGGUUAGCCACCCACAUGAGACUGCAUGGGGGAACCAGGUUCAGCUGCUCCCACUGUUCGCAAAGAAACCCCAUUAGGUCCGACUCGCCACCACUUACGUACCCUGUGCCGCCUCCUCUCUGCCCUGGCUUGGCUCUUCCUGGUGCACCACCCCUGAUGGAUGUCCCUCGGCUUCUCCUGACCAAGCUGAAGAGUUCAGCCCCGUCCGAAGGUCAGACGUGGCAAGCAGUGGGAUCAGCAGCCCCUCAAUGGGAUGAGGAGCAGUGCUGGCCACCUGGUGACUGCCCCACUGUGUCUUCAACCCCGUGGAGGCUACUCCUGCUUGCAAAGUGCUGCAGGAUCACCAGCAGUAUGCACAGCAGUGAGGCAGUGAGUCCUCCUGUUCUGCAGUCCACGUUGUGAGGACGGUACCACACCUCCUCCUGGCCCCCUGAAAGGCUGCCGAGUAAACUGGGCACCAGUACAAACACACAUCAUAUGACUACAGAACCUUGAUAAGAAAUGAAGGUGUUUGCCUAAUUGACGGGUGGUUUCGACGGAGUCCCACUCUGGUUUCAGUCAUCUACACCACUUGGAUCAAUGGAAACAUUUGCAC
rnacentral:lncRNA from 1 species